rnacentral:rRNA from 1 species
UACGUAGGGUGCGAGCGUUAAUCGGAAUUACUGGGCGUAAAGCGUGCGCAGGCGGUUCGUUAUGUCCGAUGUGAAAGCCCCGAGCUCAACUUGGGAAUGGCAUUGGAAACUGGCGGGCUGGAGUGUGGCAGAGGGGGGUGGAAUUCCACGUGUAGCAGUGAAAUGCGUAGAUAUGCGGAGGAACACCGAUGGCGAAGGCAAUCCCCUGGACCUGUACUGACGCUCAUGCACGAAAGCGUGGGGAGCAAACAGG